rnacentral:rRNA from 1 species
UACGGUGGGGGCAAGCGUUGUUCGGAAUUACUGGGUUUAAAGGGUGCGCAGGCGGAUAUGUAAGUCAGUGGUGAAAUCUUCCCGCUUAACGGGAAAACUGCCGUUGAUACUAUAUAUCUUGAAUGCUGUGGAGGUAAGCAGAAUAUGUCAUGUAGCGGUGAAAUGCUUAGAGAUGACAUAGAAUACCGAUUGCGAAGGCAGCUUACUACACAGAUAGUGACGCUCAUGCACGAAAGCGUGGGGAUCAAACAGG